GUCUGGAAGAAAUGGCGGGUUGAUAUUUUCUACUAAAUUAUUUAUAUUUAACAUCUCCUGUGUAAUUUUAAAGUGAAAAGUCAUUAUUACCAAUUGUUGCUUUGGAGAAAGGAGAUAAGUGGAAAUAACCAAUGGAAUCAGAAUCACUCGCCAUUUGGAAGAAAUAUACUAAGUCAUAGCCCUUAUAACAUCUUGAGAAGCCCUGAGACAGCCACAGCCAAGUCAUCAUGGGAGUAUGUCUAAUUGGGAGCAAGCUAUGGGAGCGUUCCAGCUCAGUUUUCGUCUUGGCACCUGGGCCUACAGGAGUCAUGGGGUCGCAUCAUCCUGGUGCAUCAUUUUCUAGGAUGCAACCGCAACCUUUUUAGGAAUCAUUGGGAUUCGUUUGGGAACAAUUAGUGUGUUAUAGUAACUAUUGGUUUUUUUUUACAUUUCAGACUCUCGGUUUAAUGCACUAUAUUAAUUAAUUUUUUUUCCAGGUUUAGUUUACCUCUGUUUUUUUUAAUAUGACAUAUUUGUAUAUUAUUGUAUUUGGUUCCCAAAUUUUGUAUCUACGGUAACUUCUUGUGCACAGGAAUAAGCCUAGAGAAAAUUAGGUUUUUAAUACUUUAUUAUUGCUUUGAUAUUGGUUUAUGUUAUUCGGGUAAAUUUAUUUUGUAAUUAUACUUGCUUGUUUCCCAAAUAUUUUAUUGUUAUUCGCUUUAUUCCAUUUGUUCGGUUAAUUUAGGUCAUCGUCGGUAUUUAUCUCAACUUCAUUUCUCUUUCAUUCAUUGUAUACGUAACUUACUUACUUCAUUAUUGUAUUUUCCCUUAGUGAGGCUUGGGCCUAUUUAUUUGUAUUAUUUUCAUCUUUGUCAGUUUCAUUUAGUUGUACGUAGCAAGCGUACUAUAACCAUUUGGUAAAAAGGACUCAUGUGAGUUGUACCCUAUAUGUAAGUGACAGGUAAUUAUAUAAUUUUGUAAUAGAUAACAUUAUUGUAGUUAUCUCAAAUAUAACUUUUUGUAUAACUUAUGUCAUUUUAGAGUCACAUGAUAUGCACUUUGUGUAACUCAGAGAUUGUCAAAGAUCUAGUAGUUAUUUUUAAUAAAUAUUUACUUAUUUUGUA